UACGGGAGGCAGCAGUGAGGAAUAUUGGUCAAUGGGCGCAAGCCUGAACCAGCCAUGCCGCGUGAAGGAAUAAGGCCCUAUGGGUCGUAAACUUCUUUUGUGGUGGAGCAAUAAGGUGCACGUGUGCAUCGAUGAGAGUACAUCACGAAUAAGCAUCGGCUAACUCCGUGCCAGCAGCCGCGGUAAU
rnacentral:rRNA from 1 species